GACGAACGCUGGCGGCGUGCUUAACACAUGCAAGUCGAACGAGAAGAGAUGAGAAGCUUGCUUCUUAUCAAUUCGAGUGGCAAACGGGUGAGUAACGCGUAAGCAACCUGCCCUUCAGAUGGGGACAACAGCUGGAAACGGCUGCUAAUACCGAAUACGUUCUCUUUAUCGCAUGGUAGAGGGGAAGAAAGGGAGGCUCUUCGGAGCUUUCGCUGGAGGAGGGGCUUGCGUCUGAUUAGCUAGUUGAGGGUAACGGCCACCAAGGCGACGAUCAGUAGCCGGUCUGAGAGGAUGAACGGCCACAUUGGACUGAGACACGGCCCAGACUCCUACGGAGGCAGCAGUGGGGAAUCUUCCGCAAUGGACGAAAGUCUGACGGAGCAACGCCGCGUG
rnacentral:rRNA from 1 species